rnacentral:rRNA from 1 species
CCUUGCCAGCCCGCUCAGAAACUCAAAGGAAUUGAGGGGCCCGCACAAGCGAGGAGCAUGUGGUUUAAUUCGAUGAUACGCGAGGAACCUUACCUGGGCUCGAACGUAAGAUGACUGUAGGUGAAAGCUUACAUCUCUUCGGAGCAUUUUACGAGGUGCUGCAUGGUUGUCGUCAGCUCGUGCCGUGAGGUGUCGGGUUAAGUCCCAUAACGAGCGCAACCCCUACCUUUAGUUGCCAUCAGGUUAAGCUGGGGACUCUAAAGGAACUGCCUACGCAAGUAGUGAGGAAGGCGGGGAUGACGUCAAAUCAGCACGGCCCUUACGUCCAGGGCUACACACGUGCUACAAUGGCCGAUACAGAGGGCAGCUACCUGGUGACAGGAUGCAAAUCUCCAAAGUCGGUCUCAGUUCGGAUCGGAGUCUGCAACCCGACUCCGUGAAGUUGGAUUCGCUAGUAAUCGCGCAUCAGCCAUGGCGCGGUGAAUACGUUCCCGGGCCUU